rnacentral:rRNA from 1 species
CCUACGGGGAGCAGCAGUCGAGAAUCAUUCACAAUGGGGGAAACCCUGAUGGUGCGACGCCGCGUGGGGGAAUGAAGGUCUUCGGAUUGUAAACCCCUGUCAUGUGGGAGCAAAUUAAAAAGAUAGUACCACACGAGGAAGAGACGGCUAACUCUGUGCCAGCAGCCGCGGUAAUACAGAGGUCUCAAGCGUUGUUCGGAAUCACUGGGCGUAAAGCGUGCGUAGGCUGUUUCGUAAGUCGUGUGUGAAAGGCGCGGGCUCAACCCGCGGACGGCGCAUGAUACUGCGAGACUAGAGUAAUGGAGGGGGAACCGGAAUUCUCGGUGUAGCAGUGAAAUGCGUAGAUAUCGAGAGGAACACUCGUGGCGAAGGCGGGUUCCUGGACAUUAACUGACGCUGAGGCACGAAGGCCAGGGGAGCGAAAGGGAUUAGAUACCCCAGUAGUC